GUGCAACCCCUAUCUGAUAAAUGGGAUCAAUCUGGCUCCAUCGCUAACACAAGCCUCCCAGUAUUCAUUACUCUGAUAGUUAAAGCUGGGAAGGGGGUGGAACAUUAUUUAUGGUGAUCUUUGCUAAGUAAAUCAUUUAAAAAAUGGCUUUCUAAAUGCAAUAUUUCCCUUUUAAGAAGCCCUCCAGAAUUAAAGGGGCUUUACAAUGGAACAUGAAACAUAUUGCAAGGCAGAGAGACAGAAGCCGUCUUGAUUAAUGCCCACGAUUAUCAGCGAUGCAAAUCACUUUCACUUAUUAAGUCUUGUUUAAUAUCCUAAUGAAGGCUUCUGAGCAGAUUUGGUAAUUCCGGAGAAAGUGACUGUGAACUAAUGCCCUUUCAGCAUGUUGAGAAUGAGCAGUACUAUAAAGAAAACCUCAUUUACCAUAAUUCCUCCCCUGCCCAGGACCCUUUUCUCAGCUUCUACUUCGCAGCAGGAGACAAUUAACCUUUUCAGUGCCAGAAGUGAUUUCCAGCCCCUUCCAGCUGUGAAGGCCAGGAGGGUCAGAGGGAGAUGGAAGUUCUCUUUGGUCGUCACUCCCCUAGAACAGUUCUAAGAAAUCGGACUGUGGAGUAGUAGGGAUUUAAAACAUAGCCGCCGGUUCCGUGUGGGCACGUGUGGUAUCUCUCACCAAAGUCUUUUCAAAUGCCAACCCCGGGGCCUUGGCAUUGCUUAUUCAGCUUGAAUCAAAGACGAUCAGAAAUGAAAGCAGACACGGAUGAAGAAAAGCCCAUUCCACCCUGAAACGCUGGUCUCCCUUUGUGAUCUGUGGGGAUUCUCCCCUACUAAGCGCCAAGAUGGAUCUCCAUGCAUGAAUGUGCUUAGGGCAGCACCCUGGCAAGCGCUGAAGAGAGGAAAGAGUCUGCAGGUAAGAAGUGGAUUUAUUUAGAGAGAAACAAACUCUACAGAGAGAGUGUGGGUCAUUGCAGAGGGAAUGCCUGUCCAGCAAGGAGGGUGGCUCUCGAUCCUGGAGCACAUUUGAACCACCUGGAGAGCUUUACCAACUGCUGGUGCCCCGGGCCACAUUUCUGGAAAUUUUGAUUCAGUUUGUCUGGAGCCCAAGCCUCACAGUGUUUUAGA
ensembl:lncRNA